UACGUAGGGGGCAAGCGUUGUCCGGAAUCAUUGGGCGUAAAGAGCGUGUAGGCGGUCCGAUAAGUCCGCUCUGAAAGUCCGGGGCUCAACCCCGGGAGGCGGGCGGAUACUGUCGGGCUAGAGUCCGGAAGAGGCAAGUGGAAUUCCUGGUGUAGCGGUGAAAUGUGUUGAUAUCAUCAGGAACUCCGGUGGCGAAGGCGGCAUGCUGGACCUUCACUGACGCUGAGGCGCGAAAGCUAGGGGAGCGAACGGG
rnacentral:rRNA from 1 species